rnacentral:rRNA from 1 species
CUACGGGCGGCAGCAGUGAGGAAUUUUCUGCAAUGGGCGCAAGCCUGACAGAGCGACGCCGUGUGUGGGACGAAAUCCUUCGGGAUGUAAACCACUGUCAGAUGGGACGAUAUUGACGGUACCAUCAGAGGAAGCCCCGGCUAACUACGUGCCAGCAGCCGCGGUAAUACGUAGGGGGCAAGCGUUGUCCGGAAUCAUUGGGCGUAAAGGGCGCGUAGGCGGUCAAGUAAGUCAGAUGUUAAAUCUGCAGGCUCAACCUGCAACCGCAUUUGAUACUGCCUGACUAGAGAAUGGUAGAGGAAAGCGGAACUGCCGGUGUAGCGGUGAAAUGCGUAGAUAUCGGCAGGAACACCAGUGGCGAAGGCGGCUUUCUGGGCCAUUUCUGACGCUGAGGCGCGAAAGCUAGGGGAGCAAACGGGAUUAGAUACCCUAGUAGUC